rnacentral:rRNA from 1 species
CACGUAGGGCGCAAGCGUUGUCCGGAAUUAUUGGGCGUAAAGAGCUCGUAGGCGGUUUGUCACGUCGGAUGUGAAAACCCGGGGCUUAACCCCGGGCCUGCAUUCGAUACGGGCUGACUAGAGUUCGGCAGGGGAGACUGGAAUUCCUGGUGUAGCGGUGAAAUGCGCAGAUAUCAGGAGGAACACCGGUGGCGAAGGCGGGUCUCUGGGCCGAUACUGACGCUGAGGAGCGAAAGCGUGGGGAGCGAACAGG